rnacentral:rRNA from 1 species
UCGCUACUACCGAUUGAAUGGUAUAGUGAGGUCUCCGGAUUGCCUAAAUGGCGAGAUGUUGAACAAACUAUUUCAUUUAGAGGAAGUAAAAGUCGUAACAAGGUUUCCGUAG